ACUCAAAGGAAUUGACGGGGGCCCGCACAAGCGGUGGAUGAUGUGGAUUAAUUCGAUGCAACGCGAAGAACCUUACCUACCCUUGACAUGCCUCGAACCCUGAAGAGAUUUGGGGGUGCCCGAAAGGGAGCGAGGACACAGGUGCUGCAUGGCUGUCGUCAGCUCGUGUCGUGAGAUGUUGGGUUAAGUCCCGCAACGAGCGCAACCCUUGCCACUAGUUGCCAUCAUUUAGUUGGGCACUUUAGUGGGACUGCCGGUGACAAACCGGAGGAAGGUGGGGAUGACGUCAAGUCCUCAUGGCCCUUAUGGGUAGGGCUUCACACGUCAUACAAUGGUCGGUACAGAGGGUUGCCAAGCCGCGAGGUGGAGCUAAUCUCAGAAAGCCGAUCGUAGUCCGGAUUGCAGUCUGCAACUCGACUGCAUGAAGUCGGAAUCGCUAGUAAUCGCGGAUCAGCAUGUCGCGGUGAAUACGUUCCCGGGCCUUGCACACACCGCCCGU
rnacentral:rRNA from 1 species